CCUAUAAACCGGUGUAGCCCACAAGUGCAACAGAAAAAAGAAGGAAAAAAAAAAAAAGAAACCUAAGCAGCGGAAAAACCCUAAAAGAGGAGAAGAAGGAUGAAGAUUAACGCUAUAUUCUUCCAAUGAAAUUAUUAAAGAGAUCAAACCAGUACUUGCAUACCUUGUUGAAACUAGUUCUACAAUCCACAACCAAAAGAAAAACAACUUAAAAGUGCUUCAACUUUCUCUUAUCUACAUUCAAAACAAAUGAAGGUAUGGAAUAUUUAUAACCUCUCUCCCGGAAGUGAUACGGUUUCCCAAAAGCCGAUGUUCCUAUCAGAACUCCCUAUUACCCAAAUAUAAGAUUUGGACUCAUUACACUCAACAAGAGUUGCUAAAAUAUGGACAUAACCGCAAGCAAAAGGACAUCAUUUAUGUAAUAAUCGACUUCAACUAAUGGUGAAUGGCAUCACCAGAAACUUGCCACAAUCUGAAAAAGCAUGGAUGUCAAUGCAUACCAUACUGUCUCGAAAGGUUUCAGUAAAUACUACUUUGGUUAAGCACAUCA